UCAUCACUUCAUCCUUGAUCACACAAAUCGGCACUUCCCAGUUAACUGUCUUUACAUUUCUUGGCCCAGUGAUGCACAGUACUUAUAGCAACAAUCAGAACUAUCAGCAACCAACAUUCGGCAAUGAAUUUCAUCCUGAGGGACUCCUUUGGAAGUAAUGAUGGCACAUUGUGUGAAGUGCACUGAUCAGUAUUCAUUCUAGGCUUCCAUUUCACAAAUAAUAGCAACACAACCUUUUCUCACAACUUCCCACCAAUGAAGUGAAAUGGCAGAUGCUAAAGAAUACACCAGAGUUCCUACCGGUAGUUUAUCAAAUUGGUAUCUGUUAGUUUCUUAUAAAAUAGGAUGUAUUACUUUUAAUUCAACUUCUUUUGGUCUAUGUAUAGUCUAUUUAACUUUUGGGGAUCAGCCAAGGAUACUAGUUACUGUUAAAAUAAUGCAUCACAACUUUGUUUUAAUUCUGUAGGUAGACUGAGAAAGUUGUUAGGUUGCAUACUUUUAUGAUUAUACUUGGAUAAGUAGUUCAUCUUUGUGUUUAUUUUUCACCAAAUGAAUUGCAGUAAACUUGUAUGACUAAGGUUUACAGAGCAGACAGCAAUUUUAAUAUUUCAGGGAUUCCCCAGUAAAAUAUAUUUAUCAUAGGUUUCUACCAGUCAGGCUGAAUUUCUUGAUGCACUCUAGUUCAGGGAUCUCCAACCUUGGCAACUUUAAGCCUGGAGGACUUCAACUCCCAGAAUCCCGCAGCAAAGCUGGCUGGGGGAUUCUGGGAGUUGAAGUCCUCCAGGCUUAAAGUUGCCAAGGUUGGAGACCUCUGCUCUGGUAUGUCCAGCUGGGAAUAUUUGGCUCAUUUUUACUGCUCUCUUCUCAGUUUAGUCCCUCCCUAUGCAAAAAAUAAAAAGGGAGGCCUUUUUAACUUCCUGCCCAAAGUAUAGGAAUAUGUGUAUGCGUCAUCCCAGGGUUCCUUUUGGUAGACAGACGGAAAUAAAAAUAAAACUUGCUCCAGCUCUGAAAAAAAAAUUGUAAAAGGUUUUAAUGAGAAAUUAUCUUAUUAAACCAACAAAGCCAGUUUAUUGGAAAGAGAAAUACCCGAAAAAGAAGACAACAAUAGCAAAGGGAAUUCCAAAUAAAAGCUAUAUAGUCAGCCUCAUUAAAUGAAUUGCUUAUUAUUCACUUGUCAGAACAUUUGAGUUGUUCCCGGAGGAGAAUAGUUGGAAAGGUUAUCAGUAUCUCCAAAUUGUUCCUUUCUAACAGUAUCAGUUUUAUGGUAAUUGGAGGAUGUUUCAAAAUCACAAAUUUUGCUAAUUGUUGCGAAUUUAUGUUCCGUAUUUUUAAGGAUUGAGAAUUUAUUUGAAAAAUUAAAUAUAAAUGCCUUUCAUUUGACCUUCGUUUAGCAGAUUCUUAAAGGGGUACUCGUCUAUUAUAUCAAAAUAGAACAGAAUAUUGGAAGACUAACUGAAAUUUUGGGCCCUGUCAAUUAUUGUGAUAAACACAGACCAUUUAAAUGCUUCUGUUGUUACCAUUUUUGUUGUUAGUAUGGCACAAAACAUGGCUCAACUGAUACUUUCAUAACAUUUUUACAGUUGAAAUAAAUGCAUCCAUGGCUUUAAUGGGCAGAGGACUUUAAAUGUUUCUCUUCCUGUUUCUUCAAGCUCUUACAUUUUGAAACCGAAAUACGCAGAGCUAAGGUUGCUUGAAGGGAAUUUAAUUUUUCUCCUUUAGGUCACUAGUUCAAAUGGACCCCAAUAAUGAAAUAUGAUUAUCUUCUGAUAACGCUUCAGUUAAUAAUUCAGCAGCACUUGGGGUCUCCAUUUAGUUUCCUGCCAAUUGUUAUCCAGGACUUAACUGACACUAAUCUUAUUUUUUAUUGGCAUCCAGAAGGAAGUUCAAAGUGAUUGACUUCUUUCUCUCUAAAAAUUAAUGGUAGAAAUGAAGGUCUGGAAGUUUGGAAGAACAAGUUUUAUAGUUAGAAAAUUAAAUAAAAUCUUCAUAACCUGUUAUAUCCAGUAGAUGGCACUGUAUGGCACUGUAUUAAUCUGUUAAACUCAAAGAAACAGAUUUUCAGGCACUGUAGCAAUAGCAGCCUGCAUUUGGUCUGAAAUUGCUUCAUUCCUCUAUCAAAUAUGUGAGACAGCCAUAUACUUGAUUAAAGUUAAAUCUGUUUAAACUAAAACUAGUUUAAUCUAAUUAAACUGUUAGACUAUUCUUGGUUAUGCUGUAUAUAAGAAAGUGAGCAAUAUUGAUUCAGGAUUGAUUAAUAACAUUUAAUCUAAACAGUAAUCAUAAAUAUAUUCCUAAAUUUUUGAAGGGGCCAGAACAAAUUUAAAUAGAUAGAGUUAGGGUUGUCAGUUUAGAAUUACAGGGUAUUGAUAUGUUCUAUUUGAGGGCUAAAUAUUCUUCAAAAAAAUUGUUAUUGAAGGCUUUUGUAAAGUUAAAGCAAUUAUUGCCUAUAAUUUAGAAGCAUUUUACAGCAUUUUUUUUAUAUCAACUAACUUGAAGAUCCCAAAUAGGGAAAAGGAUAAGUGAACCUGUUUCAUUAAUUGGCCUAUUAAUAAUGAAGCUCAAAACCUGAAAUUAAAGAAGUCAUGAUUAAAUAUACAUUUCAAGCCAUUUUUAUUAAUACAAAUCCUAUUCUCUAGUGCAAGAAAAAAAUCUGAGAGUUUCCUUAGUAUAACAGAAACGUUUCCUUCAAAAAAAGGCACUUCUGAACUUUGUUAUGACACAGACAAUGUCUAACAAAUGAUAUUCCCAAUCAAGACAUGAGGCAGCUUUCCCCAAAUUUGGCAUUUUCUAUAUAUACUAACCUAUAGCUCCCAUAAUUCUCAGCUGGUAUGACACAUGCUUUAAGGCAUAUUUUGAUAGUAUGAAAUGAUAUUUAUUUAAGAAAUCCCCAGAAUAUACGGUAAUAUACUGCAAAAACAAACAGCACUCUGACUUCUUUUUUCCAAACCACAUUUUUAAAAAUUAUAAGACUUCUUUACAAAUUUGUAAGGAAGCAUAUAAAUCAUUACAUUUUUUAAAAAAAACCUUCUUUCUCACCUCUGUGUGGUAUAUGUGUUCCUCAGUUUUGGGUCUGUUUGGCACAUCAGCUGUUUGUUGAUGGUGUAUCCCAUUUAGAGCCUUGUCUUGCAAAGGUAUUUCCUCUGUUUGAUUUUUCUCCCACGUCUGUUGCUGUCUCAGGCAUUAUUUCAGCAGGUUAUCUUUGGAUGCCAUCUUACUGUUAUACUCUUAGAUGUUCUGGAUUUCAUCCAGGACAAUAGCUUUGAUACUCACUAGACCAGAGGCAUAGCUGGCUGGAGAAUUCUGGGAGUUGAAGUCCACAGUCUUAAAGCUGCCAAGUUUGAAGACCUCUGCACUAGACCAUACCGACCCAGUGGAAAUCACUGUACAUUGUGAGGUCUUCACAUCAAGAGCUUCCCUGUCCUCCUUUGGCUAACUCACUAUAUUGGCACAGUGACUGGCAGGGCAUACAUGUUAAUGGCAUGGAUCUUGUUAUUCCAAUUGAGUUCACACUCUUCAUGACCUAUCUUAUCCUUUGGUAGUACUUGGAUGUUGCUGUUUUCCUUACCUCCUCAUUGUGGUUCCCAUGUGACUGUGGGACUUGUAGUUGGUCUGUGUGGUCUACUGGUGGUUCCAGUCCAUCAGUCUGAACUGUUUUCUCUCUCUUGUCUACCAUCCUGCCAAACUUCUCCAAUCCAAAUCAUAUUCUAAUGUCCUCACUGUAGAUCCCUGCCAGGUGAAUUAGCAAGUCAAUAUCUCAUCCGUUCUUAGUAUACAGCUUGAUGUAUUCCACAUAGAGGAGAUGGUUGACAGUAGUUCCACUCUUGAGCUCAUAUCUGGCUAAGUGGGUUCAAGCCUACGCAGAACAGCAGGAGAGUGUAUCACCUUGGUAUGUGCCAAACCUAAUAGCCUCUUGUGUGAGUUGUCUUGUGCUGACUUACCAUUUUUUCUUCCACAGCCUUAUUGAGUUCUUGCAGAAGGGUCUUAAAUGUCUGGUUGCCAAGUAUAUACAGAUCCAUGUGUAUGGAGUUCAAUUGUAGGCCUUCCUAUAGUCAAUGCAGGCUAUGCUUAGAUUGGCGAUGUACUGCUGUUCUUGAUUAUACAGCCACGGAUCUUCAAGAUAACAGUGUCUAUAUUUUAUGCCAGUUCAUUGGUUUGAGUUAUGGUGGUAAAUGGGAUUGUUGUGAGGACUGUAUUGGCUUCUUCUAGCAUACUAUCUGAUGAUACGUCCCUACUGAGACUUACAACUAGUCUGACUAUAGCUACUGUAUCCGUGAUCUUAUUCUUCUUUCAGCUGCUGUACAAUUUUUAGACAGCAGCGUAUCAUUUUAUUACAUGAUUUCACUUCAUGUUCAGGUGCCAAUUUAGAAAUAAAGUACAUUUAAAAUAAUUUUAAACUAUUUUAACUUGAAAAGCUAGGAAAAAGAAAAGGAGCUAAAUUCUUGCAUUCUUUGUAAAAUUUCAACCAUUUUUCUUAAUAUUGAUGGUCAGUAGGCAUUGUCUUCACAAGUGAUCACUAUUUUAAGAGGUACAGCGCAGUGUAUCAGUUUUUUACUAACUACAAUCUAUUUUAAGACAUCAUGAGCAUAGCAGCUACCUUGUAGCACAUUGCGUUACUUAUCUUUAUAUUGUUUUGAGAAUAUAGUUUUUAGUUCUGCAACUUGAUCCAACUAGCUUUGGAUUAUGAAUUUCAGUUUCUAAAAAAAUGGGUUGUUUUCUACUUGUAUCCUUUUUUCAGUAGUAAUAUUUUUGUGAAUUCUGCCCAGAAUCACAGUGAUUAGUGAAUGUGGAAACAUCUGUGAUGCUAGUUAUUAUAUAAGAUAAACAAUGCUAUUAUUUGGUAUUAUUUGCUGGUUUUCUAACAGAGUGGACAUUGCAUCUUUAUUGUAAAGGGCCCUUCAAUCUUUUUCUUUGUCCUGUUUGCUUGGAGUCAGUGUUUCUUAAUGAAGCAGUCUGCUUAUUCAAAUGGUAAUUGGAUCAUAUCCAAAUAUGACUCAGUGGGAAAUCCGUUCAUUUUCUUCCUUAGGUUGCUUUGUGAUCGCAUCCGGCCAUCGCUAAUAAAUCUGAAUACUUUCUAAAAGAGCUGCUAUUAGCCUCAUAUAUCCACCAAGAAAGUGUUUCCUUAGAAUGUGUCAGUAGACUUCAGGCUUUUGAUUUUUUUGAAAGUCUGUUGAGAUUAUUGCUAGAUGAUAUAGAUGGACAGAUCUACAUACAAAAAUAUGCAAAUACAAUAUACAUAAACAUUGCCAUGCUCACUGCAAGAAAAUAUCCAUUAAAAAAACCGUUUUCUUUAAAAAGUUUCCUUUUAAAAAUGAAAUCGGAAUUGUUUCAAACAUUAAUACUUGAAGCAGUUUUCUAACCCAGGAUUCUGAAUCUCUGGGUCAACACUUGGGGGACUCGGUCGCUAGCAAAUCGGGGGGGGGGGGAGCGGUGUUUGAAAGGGGUGGUUGUCCCUGCGAAGGAUUGGACGUUUUUGGUCCUAUCCUGUCUGCCUGGACAAGUCGGGAGCAAGAGUUUUCACAGCCAGCUUUGACGGGAGGACAAAGCUUGUAUUUUCGACCUUUUUGUCCCGUGAGAGUUGGGAGGUUGCGGCUCUCAUGCGCGGCGAGAGGCCCGGCUGCUGCAGGAGGUCUCUCCUGUUCGCGCCGGCCUCGGCUCGGAAACUAAACAUCUAAGUGACGGAACCGGCCAACCCGGGGGCCUUUUUUGUCACGCCGGCGCUUCGCAUCCAAAUCUCCACCCGGUGGAAGAGCGGGAAGGAAGCGGCGCUGGCCCCUUGUCGCCAGUCCAGGCUAGCUGGAACGGCGAGAGUUCUGCAGGCGAGCUGAGCUGCGGUCGUGUCUCUCAUUUCGGAGCCAAAAUUGCAGCCGGCAUUAUCGGGACCAUGUACUGUAGAGUUAAACAAACAAAAUACUGCUAGCGCCAGACACGCUCGGAAAGCGUCUUUUCCUUCUCUGUGGAAGCCUGGCUAAGUCACAAAGGAAGACAAUAUGUCGCGACACCAACCCUCGAAGGGGAGGGAAAUUCAUAUAGAAAAGAGACCGAUUAGAACUGGGUGACUUCCAUUUCCUUGGUGGUUGGAGAUCGUUGAGAUUGCGCUGCAAGGCAGGGCACCUCUGUGUUCUGGAAGGCUGGGGCACUACUGGGGAGAGGCACCCCAAAACGGGAUGAGACCAAAAGGGACAAGGGAGGGCUGCAUUGGAGAGGAGAAAGGGAAGUGGUGGGCGCAAGGAGGAAAUGGCAUCAGGGAGGGAGUGAUGGGUUUUGGAAUGGAAGGUAGCGGGGCAGGAUGACCGGCAGACAGUUUUCCAUAACUCCCAUCUUUUCAGGUUAAGGUUAUGGUUCAUGCUCAGUACUACCAAGAAGGUGGUAAUAGUCUCCCUCAAGAUGCAUUUCACAGACAUGGCCAGGAAGUGGAUUGGCACUGCUGCCUACAAUUUCUUUGAUUUCCCAAUCUAAUCUAAAGUAGUGGUCUUUCCUGUGGUCUUGCAUCUAAUGCUAAUUAAGGUAGCCAGCUAAUCCUGGCUAGCUUUCUUACAGUGCUGCACAAGCUGGGUCUUCAACCUUCAACAGAUGAAGCGGCAUAAAACAACUGAAUAACUACCUACAGAAUUUCAACUAUAGUUGCAGUAUCCAGAGACAGAAGUUUACAGAUACAAUGCAAAAGGAAAGGGAAGGGAAGGAGGGAAGAAAGAAAGGAAUAUGUACAUUCUGACAGGCCUGCAGUUUUCUUGUUUCAAGCCAAACACGUAAUACUUCUGUUGAGCGGAUGGAUGGCAUCCUGCAGAUGAAUGGCAUUCUCUGCAAUGGAAUGAGUGCAUAGGGAUGUAUGUAGCACCUGUCGGCAAUCUAAUAUGUUUAGCUAUUAAACCAAACAUUUCUGGGUGCAGCAAGGAGGGCAACUGCAUGAUCCUUGGGAAGGUGCCAGCUAUUUUAAAGAGUAGCUGACAGGUGCUAUAUAAGGGCUCUCCCUGAAUGGCAAUGCAACAUUUUUCCUUCUAAGGUGAAGCAUUGCAGCCCUAAUAAAUAUUAUUAAACGCAGUAACUAAAUGGAUUAAAAAGUAGCAGUGCACAGUGGGUUGUAUGGUCUAACCCUUUAGACUGAAGCCAGAUGACGCAACAUCAUUGAUUAACAGCGAUGAUGUGCUUCAUGGCCCAACUGGUCAAAGCAGCUGCAGCUGGAAUAUAUACCAUUAAAAGAAAAUCCUAGAAAUGUAAGUGGUAGGCAAAUGAAGCAAUUGGAUUUUGCUUUUGGGAAUGUAGGAACAGUGGUAGGUCACAGUAUCCUCACUGUCAGCAUGUCCAUAAAUUCUCUCCACAGUUGUCACUACAAAUUCUUUUCUUAAAAGAAGCAUAGCAACAAAGAUGGCUUUAAUUAAGUUUAAACAAGCUUUGGAUAAAGACAUGUCUUUCACCUGACCAAAAUUUAAUAAAUAAAUAAAUAAAGAUAUAAUUUAAAAUAGUAAA